rnacentral:rRNA from 1 species
UUUCUUUAGUACGAAAGGACCAAGAAAACAGGACCGCCGUCAACGACACGUCCUAAACACAAGGCUGAGCGCAACUAAAGCCUAAGCAACAAAUCCAUAAGCCCGGAGAUAACGGGGUUA